rnacentral:rRNA from 1 species
GAUGAACGCUGGCGGCGUGCCUAAUACAUGCAAGUCGAGCGAAUGGAUUAAGAGCUUGCUCUUAUGAAGUUAGCGGCGGACGGGUGAGUAACACGUGGGUAACCUGCCCAUAAGACUGGGAUAACUCCGGGAAACAGGGGCUAAUACGGGAUAACAUUUUGAACCUCAUGGUUCGAAAUUGAAAGGCGGCUUCGGCUGGCACUUAUGGAUGGACCCGCGUCGCAUUAGGUAGUUGGUGAGGUAACGGCUCACCAAGGCAACGAUGCGUAGCCGACCUGAGAGGGUGAUCGGCCACACUGGGACUGAGACACGGCCCAGACUCCUACGGGAGGCAGCAGUAGGGAAUCUUCCGCAAUGGACGAAAGUCUGACGGAGCAACGCCGCGUGAGUGAUGAAGGCUUUCGGGUCGUAAAACUCUGUUGUUAGGGAAGAACAAGUGCUAGUUGAAUAAGCUGGCACCUUGACGGUACCUAACCAGAAAACCAUGGCUAACUACGUGCCAGCCGCCGCAGUAA